GUGACUCCGACACCACCGCUCCACCGUCGUACACGACUACAAAGCUCUCCUCCCCCUCCUGCCUCGCCUGGCCAGCCCUGCCCACCCCACCACCGAGCUCGGUUUCCUUGUCCGUCGUGGCCCCGUCUCGCUCUCCUGGAGCGACGGCGGCGGCGCCGCCCGGUCGUCCCGUCCCAGCGUCCUUUUCUUCUGCGGCUCUUCCCAUGCCGGCCUCGGACAUGGCGAGCAGGUCCUUUGCACCGGCGGCGGCUGAGCCCAGAAGGACAUCUCAAGAGAGACGCAGCCUUGGAGCGGAGCAGCGUGUCGCAGGCUCAUAGUGCCGUGGCUCAGAACGCGGCGAUGAUGGCGUGCUUGUGCUCGGUGGCGUUGAAGGUGAGGUAGCACGAAGCGGCUCCUCAAGGCCCCUCGCCGACGCCCGGACGUCGUCAUCCACCGUGAUCAUCUCUGCCAUGCUCGCCGGGAAGUGCGGGUGCCCCUACUCCUUUACCACGAUGAGGCUCUCCUACAGCCAGCGUCGGCGCCUCGCGCGUCGCCUCUGCGGCACCGUGGUUGCCGCCGGAGUCUGUGGCUGACGUCCUCCUCUUCAGCCCGCCGCAAGGCUUCAUGUGUAGGCUGUAGCCACCGUCGCUCCACGGCCGUCGGCGACGGGCUGCCGCUUCCCGAGGCCUCCUCCUCCCGGCUGAAUUUCUCUGCAAUAUCCUGCUCAAGUAGAUUACUUUGUUAGGAUGAUCUCCACUGUGUGGGCCACUGUCACCUGCACUAUAUAAAGAGGUGGGGGCCGCGGCUCGCAAUACGAGGUUCAUCGCGACGCCGUACACCCCACCUACAUUCCCUGCCGAUUUAGGGUUAGUGCAGUGCUGACGGGAAGCACCGCCACCACUACUCUCUGUCAUCACCGGCACCAUGGCCGGCACCGGGAGCUCCUCGAGCUACAACGAGAAGUGUUGAUCUUUUGACCCAAAAGAUGACCAAGAACGGUCAUAACAUGAGGGAGUAUGUUCUCUCUAAAGAAUGGCUUCAAAAGAAAAGGUUCUUGGAUAUUAAUCCAAGAAAAGGAAAGAGAUAGAUCAUUGCGAGUCUUGGUUGACGAAUGUCUUUCAUGUACUCUCUAUGAAGAAGAUUAUUCAAUCAACAUGAUUUGAGUUGAAACAAGCAACAUGCGUGUAAUUUGACCAACGUCGGAUCAAGCACGUGUGUCAAAGAGCAUUCGGUUUUAUUUCUGAAUUCGAUGAUUGAAUAUGCAGUCAAAAGAGCCAAUUCUGGCAUUUAUGUCCCUUACAGGGAAUUACCCACAUUGCGGGAAAAGAUGAUUGUGAUAAAACCCGCAUGGCGGGAAAAGUCUGGGAAAAUACCUGCAUAGCGGGGUAAAGUUGACAUAGUAUUAUGUCAAAAAUCCUGUAUGGCAGGAGAAAUUUUGGCAAAAGACUUAUCUUGUAUGACAGGAGAAAGAUAUGAUGACUCAUGUGCUUUUAAUGUGUCCCACUCUGGGAGAAAAGUAUUGAGUAGCUAUUAUGCUUUCCUAGUAUCGACCAUACACCUUAUGUGUAUCAGUCAUUAAGCACUCAAUAAAUCCAAAGAGAAUAAAAGUUACAGACUAACCUAAAGAUAAGAAUGAUAUGCAAGUGUGACUUGAAAAGUACUAAUGAUAAAGAACUCUGUUGAGUUUCCAAAAUGGAAUGAGGAAAAAGUACUCCCAUACCAGUUAAGAGAUAACUUCAUUUCGUAUGAAGUAAUCAGAUAAAUGAAGUAGAUAAUCAAAGUUUCCUCAAUUCACAAGAGUUAUGAAUGGUUUUUCGAAAUUGUGGUAGAAAAGUUCUUGCCACAGUUCGAGGGGGAGAAAGAAACAUGAAAUAAAUUAAGAAUGCUAAAACUCGCCUAUACUUUAGAUAAUGUGAUGCACAUUAUGCAUCUAAAGUGAUCCAUUAACGAAGAAUGUGAUCGUCUGGGGGAGUACGACGGUCAUAAUAAUACCUCUAAAGAAAAUAAAUAGCUAUAUUCCUGGAUCUUUAACAGUUUCGAAAGCAGACUAAGGAAUACUAAAAUGGUGCUUAAAGUGCCAUAAAGAAGAAAGUUUUAAUAGAAUAAACCCAAAUAAUAAAGUUUAAAGAUACCCCAAUUUUAGUGAAGAUGGAGUAAUCUAGGGGAGCAUGUUGUAUGACCUAUACAACACCUGUUGUUAGCUCUAUAAAGGAGGAACGAGUAAACAUGGAUCUUGUCAUAAAGGUCCCUGUAAAACCUAUUGCCUCUUGGAAAUGAUAGACUAUACAAUUAAUUCGUCUCUUGGCAAUGAUAGAGCAACAACAGCCCCAUAUGAAAGA